UUGACAAAUUCAAACAUGAGUUUUUCAAAUCUGUGUCCCAGAGAUGUUUCUUCAAAUCAGGAAAGUUCAAUGGGAUUUUCAGAACUCAGUUCCUCUAGUUCCAUGUCUCAGUCUCUGAGUACAAAAAGCAUCAUAGGACAAACUAACCUUGAUGUGCCAGGGUCAGGUGCUUUGACCCUUCCUCGUAGAUUUUCAACUUAUG
rnacentral:misc_RNA from 1 species